GAUAGACGCCAUGUCUGAAUUAACAUGAUGUCCACUACACGUUGGAGGUUAAUGGGGCUGAACGUCCUUGGGAGGUCGUGCUCGCCAAUUGAUUCCUUUAGAACUUCCAGCUUUAAGCCAGAAAACGCAGUUGGGU
rnacentral:lncRNA from 1 species